rnacentral:rRNA from 1 species
CCUACGGGGGGCUGCAGUGGGGGAUAUUGCACAAUGGGGGGAACCCUGAUGCAGCGACGCCGCGUGGGUGAAGAAGCGCCUCGGCGCGUAAAGCCCUGUCAGCAGGGAAGAAAAUGACGGUACCUGAAGAAGAAGCCCCGGCUAACUACGUGCCAGCAGCCGCGGGAAUACGGAGGGGGCCAGCGUUAACCGGAUUUACUGGGUGUAAAGGGGGCGCAGACGGCGAUGCAAGCCAGGAGUGAAGGCCCGGGGCCCAACCCCGGGACUGCUCUUGGAACUGCGUGGCUGGAGUGCAGGAGGGGCAGGCGGAAUUCCUGGUGUAGCGGUGAAAUGCGUAGAUAUCAGGAGGAACACCGGUGGCGAAGGCGGCCUGCUGGACUGCAACUGACGUUGAGGCCCGAAAGCGUGGGGAGCAAACAGGAUUAGAUACCCGAGUAGUC